UGGGGAAUAUUGCACAAUGGGGAAAGCCCUGAUGCAGCAACGCCGCGUGAAGGAAGACGGUUUUCGGAUUGUAAACUUCUUUUCUUAGUGAAGAAGCAAGUGACGGUAGCUAAGGAAUAAGCAUCGGCUAACUACGUGCCAGCAGCCGCGGUAAUACGUAGGAUGCGAGCGUUAUCCGGAAUUACUGGGUGUAAAGGGAGCGCAGGCGGGACUGCAAGUUGGAUGUGAAAUACCGCAGCUUAACUGCGGAGCUGCAUCCAAAACUGUAGUUCUUGAGUGGAGUAGAGGCAAGCGGAAUUCCGAGUGUAGCGGUGAAAUGCGUAGAUAUUCGGAGGAACACCAGUGGCGAAGGCGGCUUGCUGGGCUCUAACUGACGCUGAGGCUCGAAAGUGUGGGGAGCAAACAGGAUUAGAUACC
rnacentral:rRNA from 1 species